AUUGAACGCUGGCGGCAUGCUUUACACAUGCAAGUCGAACGGUAACAGGGAGCUUGCUCCGCUGACGAGUGGCGAACGGGUGAGUAAUGCGUCGGAACGUGCCGAGUAGUGGGGGAUAACGCAUCGAAAGGUGUGCUAAUACCGCAUACGAACUGAGGUUGAAAGUGGGGGACCUUCGGGCCUCACGCUCUGCGAGCGGCCCGCGUCUGAUUGGCGAGUUGGUGAGGUAAAGGCUCACCAAGGCGACGAUCAGUAGCGGGUCUGAGAGGAUGAUCCGCCACACUGGGACUGAGACACGGCCCAGACUCCUACGGGAGGCAGCAGUGGGGAAUUUUGGACAAUGGGCGCAAGCCUGAUCCAGCCAUGCCGCGUGUCUGAAGAAGGCCUUCGGGUUGUAAAGGACUUUUGUCCGGGAGCAAAUGCUGGUGGCUAACAUCCACCGGAGCUGAGAGUACCGGAAGAAUAAGCACCGGCUAACUACGUGCCAGCAGCCGCCGUAAUAC
rnacentral:rRNA from 1 species